UUCCGGUUGAUCCUGCCGGACCUUACUGCUAUCGGGACAAGACUAAAACAUGCUAGUUGUGCGCAUCCUAGCCACGUUGGGAGCGCAGCAAACGGCUCCGUAACACGUAGUCAAUCUAACCUUAGGACGGGGAUAACCCCCGGGAAACUGGGGCUAAUACCCGAUAGGCGAUAAAAGCCUGGAAUGGCAUUUCACCUAAAGGGUUUUAGUAACAUGCUACUAAAACUGCCUAAGGAUGAGACUGCGGCCGAUCAGGUUGUUGGUGGGGUAACGGCCUACCAAGCCUAUAACCGGUACGGGCCCUGAGAGGGGGAGCCCGGAGAUGGGAACUGAGACAAGGUCCCAGACCCCACGGGGUGCAGCAGUUGCGAAACCUCUACAAUGCACGAAAGUGUGAUAGGGUUAUCCCGAGUGCCGUCCGAUGAGGAUGGCUUUUCCUCGGUGUAAGGACCCGGGGGAAUAAAGGGGGGGCAAGACUGGUGUCAGCCGCCGCGGUAAUACCAGCCCCCUAAGUGGUAAGGACGAUUAUUUGGCCUAAAGCGUCCGUAGCCGGCUUAGUUAGUCUUUCGUAAAAUCCGGUGACUUAAUCAUCGGUCAGCGAAAGAUACUGCUAGGCUUGAGGACGGGAGAGGUCGACGGUAUUCCGGGGGUAGGGGCAAAAUCCUAUAAUCCUCGGAGGACCACCAGUGGCGAAGGCGGUCGACUAGAACGUGCCUGACGGUGAUGGACGAAAGCUGGGGGAGCAAACCGGAUUAGACACCCGGGUAGUCCCAGCCGUAAACGAUGUGGGCUAGGUGUUGGGCAGCCACGAGCUGCUCCGGUGCCGCAGAGAAGUCAUUAAGCUCACCGCCUGGGAAGUACGGUCGCAGGACUGAAACUUAAAGGAAUUGGCGGGGAGCACACAGCGUGAAGCUGCG
rnacentral:rRNA from 1 species